CUUAUUUUGAAUAUCUCUCUCAACGGUAGUUUAAAUGAAUGAACCAAUGAAGAAAGGAAUAUUGCAGCACAAUUUGAAUUCCUAUAUGUAUCUCACUAAAUUUAAUAAAAUUUCUUUUAUGACCAAAAUCUCUCCAUAAUGGUAGUUUCUAAAGAGUUAUAGUUGUUUCAAGGUAUAGUUGUGUGAUAGCAUUUUGUUUUUCAGCAAGCGUUUAUUGAGAGGACAGGACUAUAAACCAGAAAGGAAGAAUCCACUCUCCAGGGUCUUAAUGAAGCCUGC
rnacentral:lncRNA from 1 species